GGCCUGGCUGGACGGUCUUGCCUUGUUGUAAGUUUACUGUCCUGGCUGGGUCUUUCCUUCUGGGGAACCAGCUGCUCUUUAUUGGGUGUGUUGUGGGAUCCAGGACUUUUACUUUGAAAAAAUUAGAGUGUUCAAAGCAGGCAUUAGCUUGAAUACAUUAGCAUGGAAUAAUAAAAUAGGACUUUGGUUCUAUUUUGUUGGCUUCUAGGACCGAAGUA
rnacentral:rRNA from 1 species